GUCCCUCGCUUCGUUGCAUGCAGUCGAGCGCACCAUAUCGGGUGAGCGGCGGACGGGUUAGUAACGCGUGGGAACGUACCCAGAUCUAAGGAAUAGCCACUGGAAACGGUGAGUAAUACCUUAUACGCCCUUCGGGGGAAAGAUUUAUCGGAUUUGGAUCGGCCCGCGUUAGAUUAGGUAGUUGGUGGGGUAAUGGCCUACCAAGCCUACGAUCUAUAGCUGGUUUUAGAGGAUGAUCAGCAACACUGGGACUGAGACACGGCCCAGACUCCUACGGGAGGCAGCAGUGGGGAAUCUUAAACAAUGGGGGCAACCCUGAUCUAGCCAUGCCGCGUGAGUGAAGAAGGUCUUAGGAUCGUAAAGCUCUUUCGCCAGGGAUGAUAAUGACAGUACCUGGUAAAGAAACCCCGGCUAACUCCGUGCCAGCAGCCGCGGUAAUACGGAGGGGGUUAGCGGUGUUCGGAAUUACUGGGCGUAAAGCGCGCGUAGGCGGAUCAGAAAGUUGGGGGUGAAAUCCCAGGGCUCAACCCUGGAACUGCCUCCAAAACUCCUGGUCUUGAGUUCGAGAGAGGUGAGUGGAACUCCGAGUGUAGAGGUGAAAUUCGUAGAUAUUCGGAAGAACACCAGUGGGCGAAGAGCGGCUCACUGGCUCGAUACUGACGCUGAGGUGCGAAAGUGUGGGGAGCAAACAGGAUUAAUACCCUGGUAGUCCACACCGUAAACAAUGAAUGCCACUCUCGGGUAGUAUACUAUUUCUGUGACACACCUAACGGAUUAACAAUCCCCCUGGGGAGUACGGUCGCAAGAAUAAAAACUCAAAGAAUUGACGGGGCCCGCACACCGAUGGAGCAUGUGGUUUAUUCGGAGCACGCCCGAGACCAUUACCACCCUUGACUCCUGUUGCGGAUCCGGAAAAAACUG
rnacentral:rRNA from 1 species